rnacentral:rRNA from 1 species
GAUAACGCGUGGCGCGCACAUAAGACAUGCAAGUCGAACGGGACUUAACCGUAUAAGGUUUACUAUUGGAGCGGUUAGUGGCGGACUGGUGAGUAACGCGUAAGCAAUCUGCCUAUCAGAGGGGAAUAACAGUGAGAAAUCACUGCUAAUACCGCAUAAGCUGUGAGUAUCGCAUGAUAUAAGCAGAAAAGGAGCAAUCCGCUGAUAGAUGAGCUUGCGUCUGAUUAGUUAGUUGGUAGGGUAACGGCCUACCAAGACGAUGAUCAGUAGCCGGACUGAGAGGUUGAACGGCCACAUUGGGACUGAGAUACGGCCCAG